CCUCCCGACUAAUCAUUACAUUGGUGGAGAACCCUCGAUUCUGCAAAAGAAAAGCAAUUUCAGGAAGUCCCCUGUGUAAUUUGUAUGGAUGAGGACGAUGUUUUCACGCUACAGGAGCGUUGCACGCAGCCUUGCCACCUGGGGUGCCUUUAAAUGGUUGGAUGUCUUUAAUUUGUUUACAUUAUAGGCACCCCUAUAAAUAUAUUAUAUUUAUAUACUAUAAUAAACGUUAAAAAUGA